ACUCAAAUGAAUUGACGGGGGCCCGCACAAGCGGUGGAGCAUGUGGUUUAAUUCGAUGCAACGCGAAGAACCUUACCUGGUCUUGACAUCCACAGAACUUUCCAGAGAUGGAUUGGUGCCUUCGGGAACUGUGAGACAGGUGCUGCAUGGCUGUCGUCAGCUCGUGUUGUGAAAUGUUGGGUUAAGUCCCGCAACGAGCGCAACCCUUAUCCUUUGUUGCCAGCGGUCCGGCCGGGAACUCAAAGGAGACUGCCAGUGAUAAACUGGAGGAAGGUGGGGAUGACGUCAAGUCAUCAUGGCCCUUACGACCAGGGCUACACACGUGCUACAAUGGCGCAUACAAAGAGAAGCGACCUCGCGAGAGCAAGCGGACCUCA
rnacentral:rRNA from 1 species